AGAACGAACGCUGGCGGCAGGCCUCAAACAUGCAAGUCUAGGGGGUGUAGCAAUACAUCACCGGCGGACGGGUGCGUAACACGUGGGAAUAUACCUUUCGGUACGGAACAACUGCGGGAAACUGCAGCUAAUACCGUAUACGUCCUUGCGGAGAAAGAUUUAUCGCCGAAGGAUUAGCCCGCGUUCGAUUAGCUAGUUGGUGAGGUAAUGGCUCACCAAGGCGACGAUCGAUAGCUGUUCUGAGAGGAAGAUCAGCCACACUGGGACUGAGACACGGCCCAGACUCCUACGGGAGGCAGCAGUUGGGAAUCUUGGACAAUGGGGGAAACCCUGAUCCAGCCAUGCCGCGUGAGUGAUGAAGGCCUUGGGUUGUAAAGCUCUUUACCCGGAAGAUAAUGACUGUACCGGGAGAAUAAGCUCCGGCUAACUUCGCGCCAGCAGCCGC
rnacentral:rRNA from 1 species